rnacentral:lncRNA from 1 species
AGCUUUGUACAAAUUUAUUCCCCGGGGGAGAAGAUGUGGAGAUCCAACUAUACAAGAUGCUACUGGUAAGUUGCAUAUACUGUUAUUAUGCGAUUGGUCAUCAGGUUGAAUUUGCUGCUAGUUACCUCCUGAUGUUUUUACGGUCCAAAUGGCAGAGGAGCGACACAUAUCUUGUGGGUAUCGGUGGAACAGAGGCGAUGGAGCAAGGUCUCGCAUCAAAAAUACAAGUGGCAACUACGGGUACUGCUGAUUUGGGUGGAACAAAGGCGAUGGAGCAUCGUUAGUCCCCCAAACCUAAAUGUGGACCGAAAGUGGGUUGUAAUUUAAUUGUGUCAGCCGGGUCUUGAACUCAAGACCUCUUAACUUUGAUACCAUGUAGAAGUAACGCCUUUAGAAUGUUCACCGCUGAAACCUCUCAAAGAUGGCUGAAGCUGUCACCAUGCAUAAGAUCCAUGUCCAUGAUCACCAUCACUCCAAUAGCAAUUUUAGAGCAGAAAAAAUCCCAACCAUCACUCCACUAGCAAUAUUUGGUGCAAGCACUAGUAGAAAAAGGGCCUUUAGCCCUGGUUUGGUUGAGCCAUUAGUCCCGAUUCUCAAACCGGGACUAAUGCUAGCCCCAGUUCGGGGUCAAAUCGGGGCUAAUGGCCUUCCACGUGGCGGGGCUGGGAGCGAGGGGGAAUGGGUAUUAGUCCCGGUUUAGAGUUGUGCACUAAAUUGGAUGGACUAUUUUGCUGCCCCCUAUUUUUCCAUUUAUUUGUUACAUAUAUAUUGCACAUCGUCACGAAUAUAUUACACCAUCUCACCCGUCGUGCUUUGUUGAACAUAUUUAUAAAAUGUAGACACGAGUUACAUGCACAUAUAUGCAUCUUUUUUACACUAUAUCAUUUCAUAUCAUUUCCGUCGAAUGGCAAUAGUAUUCUAAUCAAUCAUCUAACAACUCAUCAUCAUCUUAAUCAUAUACCAAGUUAUCAUAUGAUACACAUAAAAUAAAGCAGAUAAACAUCAUAAUAUAUAUAUAGUCAUCAUGCAUAUAUGCAUGCAUCCUAAUCGAUCAUGUCAAGUAAUAAUAUAAAUCAGAAUAACUUGUCUCUCAUAAGACCUAGUCCUCGCUCUUAGAUAUAAUGUCAUAAAACAGAAUAACAUCCAUGUCUCCAUGAUGAAUCAUAGAGAUCCAACGGUCUCCAGCUUGUGGGUUGCGAACCUUCUUUAUUUCUCUCCAUGCCUCAAUUUGGUUCCUUUUUGAUCUUGAUUUGAGGUUACUCAAGUAUGGAGCAUCGAACUCAGCCCUCAGCGGGCUUCUAAUUUUCAUUUGACCUUCUGGGUGCAUCAACAGAGGCACUACAUCAUUGUGGCAGUUGCUGUUGAAGAACAUAAUAAUAACCUAGUUAGCAAUGUAAUCAACACCAUUUAUGCAAUAGUAGAGCGUACUUAAUUAGGAAACUCUUACCAAGACAUUUCGGCGAAUGUCAUCCGGCCUCAACCUAUGCACUAGUGACAUGUAAAAAUGAAUAAUUUUGGCCAAUUCCAAAAUUAUACGGGAAGGUAUCCCUAGAAACUAGAAUACCAGCAACAAGAAAGUGGAGAAGAACAUCCUUCUCCUCUCAAGUUAGAUGUGAUCCAUACGUGUAGUGUGUCGUGUCAAUUAACUUCCGUAAUUCAGUCGAAGCAACGAAAUAAGCUGUAAAUUAUAAUUUAACAAAUUUAGUAUAUGGAUGAACACCAACUAUUUCUAAAUAUAAAUGCAAAUUACUUGACAAAUAUGGUUGAGAAACUCACAUGGAGGUAAAACAGGAAGCAUAUCAUCGACAAUCACCUAAAUUUUGUAAUAAUUUAAUGUUUCAAAAAUACUUAGAAAUUUUGUAAAUGUCCACAAGAUAUGAGUAUAACUUGUUAAAACAUCAAAUUCAAUUUUGUAAUAGUAGACCUUGAGCUCUAAACAGUUUCACACAAUGUGGGCAUUAUAUAAACCAUUUAAAACGACCACACAUGUGCUACGAUCAUUCAAAGGACAAUUUCAUGAUUCACUUUCGGUCCGGCAACUAAUUAUUCUCUUCAGCCUAAGAGUCCAUACACCUGUAAACUUAAUUAUGGUAUUAAACACGACUGGAUGUUGCAUACGCAUCUAGUACAAUCCUAGUCUAAAACGUUUGUACCACUGAUAUGUCUUCAUCUUAUCUACUAUUCCAAACUCUUUUGUUCUUGUUUUGGACUCUAAUUUGCAUGAUUUUAAUGAAACUAACUCGGACUGACGAUGUUUUCAGCAGAAUUGUCACAGUGUUGUUUUUGCGCAGAAAUAAAAGUUCUGGAAUAUCCUGGAAAUUUACGAGGAUUUUUUGUGGAAUAUAUAAAAAAUACUGGCGCAAGAAUUACCUGGAGGGACGGAGCGAGGAGCCCACAAGCCCAGGAGGCGCCCCCCCGGCCGCGGCUGGCAGGCUUGUGAGGCCCUCGUGGCUCCGCCGCCUCCAACUCCAGCUCUAUAUAGUCUCUCUCGCCUAGAAAAAAUUAAGAGAGAAGAGUUAAUCGUGUUUUAUGACACGGAGCCACCGCCACCACCUGUUCUUCCUCUAGAGGGCAGAUCUGGAGUCCGUUCUGGGCUCCGGAGAGGGGGAAUCGACGCCGUCAUCAUCACCAACCAUCCUUCAUCGCCAAUUCCAUGAUGUUCUUCAUCGUUCGUGAGUAAUCUCAUCGUAGGCUUACUGGACGAUGAUGGGUUGGAUGAGAUCUAUCAUGUAACCGAGUUAGUUUUGAUGGGGUUUGAUCCCUAGUAUCCACUAUGUUCUGAGAUUGAUGUUUCUACUACUUUGCUAUGCUUAAUGAUUGUCACUAGGGCCCGAGUGCCAUGAUUUUAGAUCUGAACUUAUUAUGUUUUCAUCAAUAUAUGUGUGUUCUUGAUCCUAUCUUGCAAGUUGUAGUCACCUACUAUGUUUUAUGACCCGACAACCCCGGAGUGACAAUAACCGGAACCACUCCCGGAGAUGACCAUGGUAUGAGGAGUUCAUGUAUUCACUAAGUGCUAAUGCUUUGUUCCGGUUCUCUAUUAAAAGGAGACCUUAAUAUCUCUUAGUUUCCAUUAGGACCCCGCUGCCAUGGGAGGGAUGGACAAUAUAUGUCAUGCAAGUUCUUUUCCAUAAGCACGUAUGACUAUAUACGGAAUGCAUGCCUACAUGACAUUGACGAACUGGAGCUAGUUACAAAUCACCCCAUAUUAUAACUGUUACAUGAUGAAUGUCAUCCGACAUAAUUAUCCAUCACCGAUCCAAUGCCUACGAGUUUUUCCUACUGGUCCUUGCUAAGUUACUUUGCCGCUACUGUUGCUACUGUUACCGCUACUGCUAUCACUGCUGCUACUCUUACCGCUACUGCUAUCACUGCUGCUACUCUUACCGCUGCUACUGUUACUAUCACACUACUCUGCUACUGAAACUUUGCUGCAAAUACUAAGUCUUUCAGGUGUGGUUGAAUUAACAACUCAACUGCUAAUACUCGACAAUAUUCUUUGGCUUCCCCUUGUGUCGAAUCAACAAAUUUGGGUUGAAUACUCUACCCUUGAAAACUGUUGCGAUCCCCUAUACUUGUGGGUUAUCAAGACUAUUUUCUGGCGCCGUUGCCGGGGAGGCAUAGCUCUAUUCUCUGAGUCACUUGGGAUUUACGUCUGUUGAUCACUAUAAGGAAUCCGAGAGAUCCAAAAACUAAAGUCUUGCCCUCAACUACGAGGACAGGUAAGGAACUGCCAUCUAGCUCUACACUUGAUUCACCUUCAGUUAUGAGUAAAUUUGUGACACCACCACCUACUAGAAAUUCUGAUGUGUCGCCUGUGCUUGAUGAUGUUACUUCUGCUAUCCAUGAUGCUUAUGAUGAUGAUUUGCUUGAUACUGCUUUGCCACUUGGUGCAUUUCUUGAUGCACAAAUUGCUAGAGUUACUGUUGAAUGUGAUGAUACUUCUGAAACUGAUGAAAUUAUUGACGUAGAACCUGAUGUUUCAUCUGUUAGAACUAGCUCUCCUAGAUAUGAAUUGCCUAAUAUACCUGAGGGUUAUGUUAUGGAGGGAGAGGUAGCUGAAGACUUUCUUGCUUGUAAGGAUAGCUAUGAUCUUGGGAAUUUAUUGCGCAAGUGGAAAGAAAAAUCUCUGAAUGCUAGAAUAAAAUACGAUCCUAAGUUUGCUACUUGACCCAUCUUUGUUACCGAUAAGGAUUAUGAAUUCUGUGUCGAUCCUAAGUUAAUCACUCUGGUGGAAUCUGAUCCUUUUCAUGGUUAUGAGUCUGAAACGGUUGUAGCACAUCUUACUAAGCUGAAUGAUAUAGCCACCCUAUUCACAAGUGAGGAAAAAAUUCGCCAUUACUAUAUCCUUAAGUUGUUUCCUUUCUUGCUAAAGGGUGAUGCUAAGACCUGGUUUACUUCUCUUGCUCCUGGUUGUGUGCGUAGUCCCCAGGAUAUGAUCUACUACUUCUCUGAAAAAUAUUUUUGUGCCGAUAAGAAACAAGCUGCCUUGCAGGACAUAUAUAACUUUGUGCAAGUUGAAGAAGAGUCUCCCACAAGCUUGGGGGAGGCUUGUCCAGUUACUGAAUGCUUUGCCUGAUCACCCUCUUGAGAAGAAUGAAAUACUUGAUAUCUUUUAUAAUGGACUAACCGAUGCUUCUAGGGACCACCUAGAUAGUUGUGCUGGUUGUGUUUUCAGGGAACGAACUGUGGAACAAGCUGAAAUUCUAUUGAAUAAUAUAUUGAGCAAUGAUAAUGCUUGGACUAUUCCCGAACCACCUCCGAAGCCAACUCAGAAGAAAAGAGGUAUUCUAUUCCUCAGUCCUAAAGAUAUGCAAGAAGCCAAGAAAUCUAUGCAAGAGAAAGGUAUUAAAUCUGAAGAUGUUAAGAAUCUACCACCUAUCGAAGAAAUACAUGGUCUUGAUAACCCGACACAGGUGGUAGAGGUAAAUUAUCUUCGUAGAUUCAAUGAGAGUGAUAUUCCUUUUGAUAAACCUGCUAGCUUAUGUUUAGAUGAAUUUGAUAACUUCGUUGCCAAACAACAAAGUUCCAAUUAUGUUAGCACACAAUUGGAACAAAAUGCUCGCACGAUUGAUCAUAUAAGUGCUUGUGUGGAUAAAAAUGUCAAUGAUCUUAAGCUUUUGAGUAAACAUGCCUCUAUGGUCAGUACUCAAGUAGAACAAGUACUUAAGGCUCAAAAUGACUUGCUCAAUGAGUUGAAUGACAAUUCUGUUAGAGUCGUCACUAGAGGUGGUAGAAUGACUUAGGAACCUUUGUAUCCUGAGGGCCAUCCUAAGAGAAUUGAACAAGAUUAUCAAGGAGUUAGCACUGAUGCACCUAGUCAUCCUGGUAAUAGGAAGAAAAAGAAAGAUGAUAGGAACUUGCGUGCUAGCAAACCUGUUGCUGUUACACCUGAGAAUCCAAAUGAUAUCUCUGUUUCUGAUGUCGAAACACAAUCUGGUGAUGAACAUGAGCCUAGUGAUAAUAUUGAUAGUGGUGUUCAUGUUGAUGCUCAACCUAGUAAUGAUAAGGAUGUGGAGAUUGAACCCAGUGUUGAUCUUGAUAACCCACAACCUAAGAACAAGAGAUAUGAUAAGAACGACUUUAUUGCUAGGAAGCAUGGUAAAGAAAGAGAACCAUGGGUUCAAAAACCCAUGCCCUUUCCUCCCAAACCAUCCAAGAAAAAGGAUGAUGAGGAUUUUGAGCGCUUUGUUGAAAUGAUUAGACCUGUCUUUUUGCAAAUGCGUUUAACAGAUAUGCUCAAAAUGUCUCCUUAUGCUAAGUACAUGAAAGAUAUUGUGACUAAUAAAAGGAAGAUACCUGAGGUUGAGGUUUCCACCAUGCUUGCUAAUUACACCUUCAAGGGUGAAACUCCUAAGAAACUAGGUGAUCCCGGAGUGCCCACUAUACCUUGCUCCAUUAAAGGAAAUUAUGUUAGAACUGCUUUAUGCGAUCUUGGAGCUGGUGUUAGUGUUAUGCCUCUUGAUACGUCUCCAACAUAUCUAUAAUUUUUCAUGUUUUCAUGCUAUUAUCUUGUCAAACUUUGGAUGUUUUGCAUGUCUUUUAUAUCUUUUUUGGGACUAACUUAUUAACUCAGUGCCAAGUGCCAGUUCCUGUUUUUUCCAUGUUUUUGACCCUUUUCAGAGGAGGAUUUUAAACGGAGUCCAAACGGAAUGAAACUUCCAAAAAGAUUUUUCCGAAACAGAAGACGAUCGGGAGACUUGAGAACAAAGGUAGAGGGUCACCAGGGACCCCACAAGCCCCCUAGCAGCGGCCAGGGGGGGCUCCCUGGGCCUCCUCUGACCUUGGUCUUUCGCCUAUAUAUUCCCUAAAAUCCCAGAAAAAAUCAAGAGAUCAUCGAAAGUACUUUUCCACGCGCCGCCGCAAGCUUCUGUCUCCGCAAGAUCCCAUCUGGGCACGUUCCGGUGCCCUGCCGGAGGGGGAUUCGGAUACGGAGGGCUUUUUCAUCAACACCAUGACCUCUCCGAUGAUGCGUGAGUAGUUCACCAUAGACCUACGGGUCCAUAGCUAGUAGCUAGAUGACUUCUUCUCUCUCUUGGAUCUUCAAUAUAAAGUUCUCCAUGAUCUUCAUGGAGAUCUAUCUCAUGUAAUCUUCUUUUGCGGUGUGUUUGUCGGGAUCCGAUGAAUUGUGGAUUUAUGAUCAGAUUAUCUAUGAAUCUUAUUUGAGUUUCUUCUGAUCUCUUAUAUGCAUGAUUUCAUAUCCUUGUAAUUCUCUUCGAGUUGUGGGUUUUGUUUGGCCAACUUGAUCUAUGAUUCUUGCAAUGGGAGAAGUGCUUGGUUUUGGGUUCAUACCAUGCGGUGACCUCACCCAGUGACAGAAGGGGUAGCGAGGCACGCAUCGUGUUGUUGCCAUCAAGGGUAAACAUAUGGGGUUUUCAUCACUGGUUUGAGUUUAUCCCUCUACAUCAUAUCAUCUUGCUUAAGGCGUUACUUUGUUCGUCAUGAACUCAAUACACUAGAUGCAUGCUGGACAGCGGUCGAUGUGUGGAGUAAUAGUAGUAGAUACAGAAAGUAUCGGUCUACUCGUCUCGGACGUGAUGCCUAUAUGUAUGAUCAUUGUCUUAGAUAUCGUCAUGACUUUGCGCGGUUUUAUCAAUUGCUUGAGGAGACCGGCGAGGCGUACCAGGGCUUCGAGGGCGCCUCCUCGACCCGCCGCGGCUGCCUCCUCAGCUCCGGCGUCGUCAGGGAUUUGGUCGAGUUUGCUGACGCGGCUCGUGACGGGCCAACCUCUGCGAGGCAGCGGCUGCCCAGGUUUCCGGUGCAGCACGCCCCGCCGUCGCCGCCGUCGGCUGCCAGCUUUGCGGCGUUGGGGAAGGGGACUGGGAUGGGGCAUGUGCCCGAGUGGCUCCCGGCCUUUCCGGAGCCCCGCACGUGUGCGAUGGCGGCCGAGGAGGAGCCGGGCGUGCGGUGGAGGAGGUUGAGCAGGUGUGUCGGGAGAGGAAUGCUCGGAAGUCGCUGCUCGGUUUGCAACGACAGCUAGCGCUGGCGGGUGGCAAUGGGAUCUGCCCCACGAUGGUGGUGGAGGAUGGCGCUGGCAAGGGGGAGGAGCUAAAUAUGGCCGGGAUCAAGAGCAAUCCGUUUCUUGACUCGGCGUUGUGUUGUGGGGAGAAGGAGGUGUCAGUGGUAGCCAUGCCGAAUUUGGGGAAGAAACGCUCUGUUCUCGAGUCCUUUGCACCUGCUUUCACAGGAUCAGAGGUUGAGGGGAGGGACCAAGACCAAGGUCGAGGUCGGAAGAGGAUGGUUCCAAAGGAGAGGCCACCGGUCUAUUUUAAGAUUGGGACUGAUAGGAGGAAGUCAAGGGUGAUGGCAUGGAAUUCGAGGGAUUUUUUCACGAUUUUGACCCGUGGGAUAAAAGUAUUUCACGGAAUGAACUCUGACUGAAACUAUUUCACGAUCUGACCUUUUUUGAAACGCCAGAGCCCGUGGCGUUGCAGACGCACAUAGAAACGCCAGUCUAAUGUGGCGUUGCAGACCCAUUCAAACGCCAGACUUAUGUGGCGUUGCAGGCCAUGAGUGAAACGUCAUGGUCCAUGGCGUUUCAGCAGUACACAUGUUGCUGGCAGCAUGCCGUGGGCUGGCUGGAUGUCGUCGCUGCGUUCCAUAGUGGGUCUGCAACGCCAGCACUGUUGGCGUUUCACAAUCGGCCUGCAACGCCACAUUAGACUGACGUUGCAAGAAAGAAAAAAUGCCACGGUAGACAGGCGUGUCACUGUAGGGCAGCAACGCCAGCACUGUUGGCGUUUUACAGUGGGUCUGCAACGCCACGGUGGACUGGCGUUGCAGAAAAUAAAAAACGCCACGGUAGACAGGCGUAUCACUGUAGGGCAGCAACGUCACGGUAGACAGGCGUUGCAUAGUGGGGCAGCAACGCCACGGGCUCUGGCGUUUCAAAAAAGGUCAGAUCGUGAAAUAGUUUCAGUCAGAGUUCAUUCCGUGAAAUACUUUCAUCCCAGGGUCAAAAUAGUGAAAAAAUCCGAAUUCGAGAGACUUUGGAGGACCGUGACGGCCCCUGGUUCCUGGAGGAUGGUCGGAAGCGGAGGGCACUGUCGAUACUAGCAAGAGAAGUGGAGGAGCCAACUUGAUCUGCUGUACGCUUACAAUUCAGGCUGAUGCUGCUUGCCCUGUUUCUCACCGAUGAUGCUUUCUUCUCCAUGCCUGCGAUUCUUCACCUCUUCCUCGUGCCGACCUUGGAGGUUCUUGCCGGCUUUCACCACCAUUGGCAGGAAACAUACUAUUGAUAGAAGCCGGAAAUAUGCUGCCUGCCUGGUUAGUUGCUUGUGCAAACAAGUUUUUUGUGUUUAUCUCAAUUUUGAACCUGACAAUUUUUAUUUCUAUAGUUCUAUGCACUUUUCAAAGAUUUGCCAUCUGAUGGAAUUCGAUUCCUACAUAGGUAGCUAUACUGGCAUUCAAGCUGGCCUUCCUUUAUUUGCAAUUUAUAUAAAUAAACGGUUUCGGCCGAUUGCUGAUUCGAAUGUCGAUUCCUUUCAGAGAACAAGCCGGCCUGCUUCGUUCUAUUGUUCUGUGGAACAAGAACAAAUUUACCACUGAUGAGUUGCAAACUCUCACAAACAACUUGGGCUACAUGUAAUGUACUGUUCUAUCCAACCUCUUGAUAAAUUAAAAGCAGUUGUUUUCUAACUGGCCAAUUAAAUAUAAAAUUCUGUUUCAGGCAUGCCAGGUGCAGCCGCUGUGUUUCGAUUGGUAAACUCCCGCACUUCCUUUUAGCUUCUCAUGCUUGAUGCAACGCUGUAAAAUUGAACGCUAUUAUGCAUAUCUGGUAGCCUUCCGGGCGUGAUUUUACAUGGAGCUGGAUACCCCGGGCAGCUGGUCCGUUGAUAGAGGUGCACGGAGUACCAGGGCAUUUGUGAUUGUUGCUGUUAAACCUGGGAAUGGUUUGGGAUGAAACCGGAUUUUUGAUUUUGUUUGUCUUCGGUUUGUUAGAAAAAGGCUGAGAUGAAACAAAAGUUCGGUAUGGUCUGCUGUGCACCACAAAAUAUAGUUUGGACCGGUUUGGGUUGGGUUGCAACUUUUUUGGGCUGAACCAUUGCAAAUUGUGGAUCCAUGGUUUGGUCUGACACCAAAUAAUGUUCAGUGGUUCAAGCGCCAAAAGCACCAAUCCAACAAGACCGUGGACACCCUGAGGGACGAGGGAUCGCCUCCUUUGAUCGGAGCACCUCUGCCAGCCCACGCAAGAAGAUGGUACUCAGCAUCCAAUUAGGCGCCCUCCGAUUAGACCCAUCUAGCUAGCUAUGCCGCCUCUCCGGCAGAUUUGAGUGGCUACCGCUGUUACCUCCAUGUACUCCCACCUCUGCUCCUUGUGCUCCCACCGGAGCAAACCUUCAGUGUAAGGAGCUCUGCUCACAUGCUCCUCAGUCCUCAUGCUGGUUUGCUAGUCGAUCAAAUUGAAUACGGACAGAGCUGAAUGCUUCAGUCCAUGUUUCUUUGAGAAUUGGUUCUGUCCAAAACUGGUUUGCUUUGGGUUGAUAUUGUCAUGGAUUGGACGAGGUUGGUGGGUUUCAUUAAUGGUAUGCAGUUUGGAUUGGAUUUAGUUUGGGUCUUCGACCCUUUUUGCCCUCAAUCAAAAUCUCAGGCAUGUCAUGUUUUGCAGGUAAGGUUCUGGAGGUUCCACGGAUGGUAUUUCAAGUUCCUGCGAGCUGAUUUGAGUGUAGUGUAUUUGUUUGUACUGUGUUGGACGGCAGUGCUGCGAGAACACCGCUGUGCAAGCUGUUGGAUGGCGGUGUUUGUGUGACCAUCAAUCUUUGUAUGACUGGGGUUUAAUCUGUUGAGGAACCUAUGCAAUUUGCAGGGUCUACGGGCCUCUGUUUUUGUUGCCUUAUAUAUAUAUAUAUGCAUAUAUUGUGUACAAGUUAUUGGUGAAUGAACAGAAUAUUAGGAAACGACGGUAUCCUUUCCUACAUGCGAUGCUCAGUUCCUUGUGACUUAGUCACACUGCAGCAGGCAUUGUCUUUAUAGUGUCCACCACUGAAACCUCUCAAUUGCGUAUAUGCAGAAUCUGUGACCAUGAUUAGAAACUGAUUUCUUGUUGAAUUUACUGACUGCAUUGCACAACCGGCGCAUUCUGUACCAUGAAAAUCCACCACUGACUGGUCGUCUUUGUCUUAGGUGAAUAACCCCCUCACUCACUGGUCCUCGUCGGGUCUCAUUAAGGCCGUGCUUGGUAUGGAUGUAAUCUAAUACACGACAGGGGAACGUUUGUAUUUCUUACAAGUGUAUUUAGCAAAGUGCUUUUAGCAGUAAAAUGACACUCCAAACAUGACCUAAGGGUUCAUGGUAACCCCUGGUCAAAUCACAUGAAUUAUGUGAAAGAUGGUCAAAUAUAUAUGUACUGAAGUGAGCAAUCACAAACAUACACCCAAAGGAGAAAAAUGGAGAACAUCAGAGGAAAAACCAAACUUACAGUCUGGUCAAACUAUAGCAAGAAACAUAUACAACAAAUUAACAACCUACGUAUGGCACGAGGCAACAUGGUCCACAUGUAUGCAUAACAUUUAUCUUGUCACAUAAAAAUAUGACAUCAGCGGAGUAUAUUUAGUUUUUUAGACUUCAAAAUAUUUUAUUUUUUAAAUAAAAAUUCAAUUAAAAAUCCAUUUUCAUUAUUAAAUCCGUCUCGGUCAGAUCUUUAAAACUAAAUUCCAUAUUGAUAUGUUUCGAUGAUCUUUUUUUGGGGGCCAAAAUAUGUCAUGAUGUUUGCAUUGAAGUUGCUAUAGUGCAUUCAUAAUGGCAAAUUUAAGUAAUUCACUGUGAUAAUUUUAGUUUAUGAUUUAUGGCCAAUUUGAGCCAGUGACCAUGCAUUUUAAAAGUAAUUGCCGACAUAUUUCUUUUUACUAACCAUGUCAAAAUUAUUUCAUGGAUCAUGGUAAAUUUUAGUAAUUCAUCAUGGCAAGUUUAGGUUUUUAAUUCCUUUUCUAUAACAUGUCAAAAUUUAUUUUAAACAUGAAAGAAAAAGUAGGUGAAAUAUAUCAUGUCAACUUCAAUUGAUAAUUUAUGUGCAAUAAACAUGACAACUUUUAACAAAAAAUAGAUAUUGUCAAAACAUAUCAAUAUGAGAUUUAAUUUUGAAGAUACCGUCGUGACGUAUUAAAUGGUGAAAACUGGUUUUUAAUCAGUUUUUUUAUUUAAGAGAUAAAGCAUUUUAAAAACUGAAAAGAUGAAAGUUUUCUACUGAGAUCACCUGUUUGUCACUUCUACAUGCAUGCGACGAUAUGGUUCAAUAUGUGAUUAUGGAGCAUGUAGUAGGAUGUUGUUUCCACCACACGUCCACACGUAUGGUAGUUACGGGCGUUCUUUAACAGAGGUAACCAUGGAAUGAUGCUAUCCUCUUAUAAUGAAAUCACACCUCCUUUAACAGAGGAAACCAUGGAAUGAUGCUAUCCUCUUAUAAUGAAAUCACACCUCNNNNNNNNNNNNNNNNNNNNNNNNNNNNNNNNNNNNNNNNNNNNNNNNNNNNNNNNNNNNNNNNNNNNNNNNNNNNNNNNNNNNNNNNNNNNNNNNNNNNNNNNNNNNNNNNNNNNNNNNNNNNUAAUGAAAUCACACCUCUCCUGCGUUUUCUCAAAAAACCAUGGGAUAAUGCAAUAUAAAAAUAUAUCAUACUACCAGUAUUCCAACCAUUUUUUUUAGGGGAACCAGUCUUCCGGCCAUUUUUUUGGGGAACCAGUUUUCCAGCCAUUAUUGAUUAACAAAAUAGAUCAGCCCCCGAUGCCUCGGUGAAAUUGCCGCGAACAAAGCAAAGCGAUACCGCCUAGUAGUACGCCCAAUCGAUUUCCGCCCUUGCAGGGAGUUUACCCCUUAGUACGGAUUUUGGAGUCCUAAAUGGGGCAGGGAGAGGGGUUAGAGCAACUUCAACCAGGUGAUCCAUUUCGUUCGCGCGCGUCCAUUUGGCCGCUGUGAAUAGAAAGUACCACCCAACGUGUCAAUCCAGACGAACGUGCGUCCGCUUUUCGUCCGUUCAAGACCCAUUUUAGGCUUAAAUUUGAGUCAGGUUUGCGUUGGCGUGGAUAUGGAAUGAACACGCGCGACGCUAGCCCUUCUCCUCCCCCUGGCCCGUGAGUCGGUGGCAUAAAGGUCAUUCUCCUCUUUUCCCUUCCCCUUCAACUAUUUUGCCCGCCCCGCCUCCUGCUCCUGCCGCCCACUUCCGUCGUCGCCGCCAGCCAACCAUCCAUAGACCGACCCCUCCCGUCAGCCUCAUCUCCCAUCGUCACCGUCCCCGACGGCUCAAACGAACAUAAAAGAAACAAACAGCGCUGCUUUGUCUCAUUGGGGCGCGAGGCUCCUCACCGGCCGGAUUUCCCCGAGACGCACGCAAGUUGUUCGACGCUUUGCCCGCAAGGUACAAAUGAACUCCGAUGGUGAGUUUUCUUCUACAACGUUAUGUGUGAUUUCGAUGAUUCUUCAUUCGACGAUGAGGAGAUCGUGGCAGCUGUUUUUGUCGUCCAUGACCACCUUAGUAUGGAUCGGCCGUAAUUUAGGGGAUCCAUACCGGGACACAUGCCAACACUGAAUCGCAAUCGGAAGNNNNNNNNNNNNNNNNNNNNNNNNNNNNNNNNNNNNNNNNNNNNNNNNNNNNNNNNNNNNNNNNNNNNNNNNNNNNNNNNNNNNNNNNNNNNNNNNNNNNNNNNNNNNNNNNNNNNNNNNNNNNNNNNNNNNNNNNCGGAAGAGUGUCCAUUUUCUACUCUGAAAGGACUAUUUUGAGACUCGAAACCCGCUCUACAAACAUCACAUGUUUUGACGACGUUUUCGCAUGGCUUAGAAAAAAAAAGGCACACGCAAAGGCACACCCUUCGCAAAGCCGGCGGGACGGAACUGAGGGCUGGCGAACUGUUCUUUACCUGGUGGAAUGCGGGCUUGGCAGGGUUGUGCAAUUCAAGGUAAGGGAGAUAAGAACUUUUGUUUGUUUGAACAGGGAAAGAAAGCAAUUUACGGCGGGUAGUUACCAUGCUACAUGUGCGGACCCACUUUUCCCAUGUUUCUCCUCCGGUUUUGGAAAGGUUCUACACCUUUUUAUAAUCUUUUUUUUUCAUUUUCCCUAUUUCUGUCUGUUGGUCUUAUUUUAGUUUUUUCUUCUUUUCUUCNNNNNNNNNNNNNNNNNNNNNNNNNNNNNNNNNNNNNNNNNNNNNNNNNNNNNNNNNNNNNNNNNNNNNNNNNNNNNNNNNNNNNNNNNNNNNNNNNNNNNNNNNNNNNNNNNNNNNNNNNNNNNNNNNNNNNNUUUUUCUUCUUUUCUUCUUCUUAAAAUUUUCGUACAUUGUUUCCAUUUUUUUAUGGUUCCGCAAAUAUAUUGAAAUUUCACGACUAUUUUGCUAUAUUUUUAGAAACCAAUGUUUUUUUCAUAAAUUCCUGAUUUUUGUUAAAUUUUUUGGAGUAUUUUUUAAUAUGUUAAUAAUAUUAUUUAAAAUUAAGCGUAUUUUUCGAAUUUGUGAAUAUUUUUCAGAACUGGCCGACACGGCGAGGUCGGAUGCAACUUGCCUGCUGCAAGGGUUCAUCUCACCAUUGCAGCGCAGAGGCGCCCACUCACAGUGGCAACAGCUCCGCCGACCGGAGUGGAAGAAGGCAUGGGGUGGUUGCCGUCUGCUCGCAUCAGUGGCGUCCAUGGAUGUGCUGGAUUUAGGGAAGAAAGAAUGAGCGAUGGGGAAGCAAAAUGCUAGAAGAUAAGGACAUGCUGGGUCACAUGGGAGGCUGGGUCAGCACGACACGUGGUUGGCUAGAGAAGCGACUGAUCUUUCUGAAAAAUCAUCCGGUUGAAUUUAAGUGAUUUUCCAAAUCAUAUAUGCAUUGCGUUAUAAGUUGUCAGUGUUUCUGCACGUACCGAAUUUGGCUGGUACGUUUUUUGGGACGGUUCAUACUCCAGUUUUUCUCGCUAUUGGAACCUUCUAGAAGCUUUUUGACCAGGUUUCCUUUUUCUAUUUAGUUGUUUAUAUAUUUGUUUUUUUUCAAUUUUAUUCUUCCGAAAAUGAUAGCUUUUCAAAAAAAAACUGGAACUUGAAAUAUGUAAUUUUUUUGGAAACAAUAUCAAUUUUGUUAAAUAUGUAUAAUUCCGCAUGCUUUAUUUUUUUCACGAAUGUGAAAAUUAAUUCAUUUUAUGAUGGCUGUUCAUGGAAUCAAAAUUUCAAUGUUUUUUUUGAAAUAUAUUGUAAUAACAGUGACAUUUGUUUUUGCAUGGAAUAAUAAUGACAUCAGAAAAAUAUUAUUUCUACAUCGUACACAAGAAGCUACAGUCCCGGGUCACUUUACAAGGCCCAGAACCGCUACAGCCACUCUCGUCUAGAGCUCCUAGUCCGCUCGCGAGGGCAAACCAUAUUUAGCGCCACAGGCGCCGGUUACAUGCAAAAUUUGCUAAACGGCGCUGGCAGCGUUUCGUAAUGGGCCGGCCCGUCUAAAAUAUUUCAUGAAUUGUUUUAGCCCCUGAACUGUUUUAGCCCGUGAGCUUCUUUUGAAAUCGGCGAACUCUUUUGAAAAAUGGAUGAACAUAAUUUAAAAUUCAUGAAGUAUUUUUAAAGUUAGUGAACUAUUUUUUAAAAUUGAUGAUAUUUUUCCAAAAUCAAUGAUAUUUGUUUUUGAAUAUUGUGAACUUUUUGAAAAUUUAUGAACAUAUUUCGGUGAUUUUUUUUAAUAAUCAUUGUUUUUUUCGCAAGUCUGAACUUUUUUAAAAUUCUGCGAACUUUUUAAUUAUUUUAGUAACCAACACAUUUUAUAUUGGCCGGCGCAUAAGAGGGGCGCUGCAGGCGCCCGUUCGCCUAGUGACGCCACAUAGGAGGUCCCGCUCACGAGCGUCAAACCAAAGGAGUUUUCGUGCAGUAGUCCAGCUGAAUGGGCUGGCCUAUUUGAUGGCGUUAGUGCAAGGCGUUAUUAGCAUUACCAAAAAAUGAUAGUCUGUGUAGAAAUCAAACACACAACCAACGAUAGAGAGUCGAUGCUAUUUACCACUUCAGAUGGUCAAUGUUAGUGCUUAACAGAGCCCUCAAAUUUUUAAGAACCAAAGACAGCGGGCAUCAAAAGCGAAAGAGAAAAAAGUACGAAGGAAGAAAAUGCAAAACACUUUCAUGAAUUUUCAAGAACAAACAGUUUCUAAAAAUCCAUUGAACAUUUUACUAAUGAAUGAUGAACAUUUUUAAUAAUACAUGAUGAGAUAUUCUAUAAAAAAUGAUGAACAUUUUUGAAACAAUAUAACAUAUAUGCGUUGAACAGUUUUUGAAUUUUUAUUGAACAUUUGUAAAGUAUGUUGACCAAUUUUCAAAUACACAUUGAACAUUUGUGGUAAUAUACACUGAACAAAUUUUAGAAACAAAAUGAAUACGUUGAAAAAUUGUUGAAUACAUAUUAAACAUUUGUGGUAACAUACACUGAUAAAAUUAAAAAAACACAAUGCACAAUUUUAUAGAAACACGAAAAAAGUAAAAAAAAAAAGGAAACAAGAAAAGGAAAAGAAGGGAAGUAGGAACCGAACCCCCCCCCCCCNNNNNNNNNNNNNNNNNNNNNNNNNNNNNNNNNNNNNNNNNNNNNNNNNNNNNNNNNNNNNNNNNNNNNNNNNNNNNNNNNNNNNNNNNNNNNNNNNNNNNNNNNNNNNNNNNNNNNNNNNNNNNNNNNNNNNCCCCCCCCCCCCCCCAGAAAAUAGAUGAACAGCACAGCGAUUGUGGGCCUGCCCAGACUGUGGCCAUCUGGAGCUGAAGCUUCAGCGAAGCCACGGCUUUUUGACGCCUGAUGGCGUCAAAUAGGAUUUUCCGAGAAUCAUGGCCUGAUUGCGACCUGAAGCGAGGGGGAGACAGGCUCGGCCAGCGUGCGAGAGACCAGGCCUCAAAGCAAUCGUUUUCACUAUAUUUUUUUAAGAUUUUUUUUUCUUAAGUUGCUUUAUUUUAUACAUUUUUUGAACUUCUAAAUAUGCUAAUUAUAUAUAUUACAGUAAAUUUACAUAAAGUUUUAUAAAUGUUAAUAAUGCAUCUGUAAACUGUUAUAUGUGCGUACAAAAAAUGUUACAAAAAAUAUAGAAUGUGUAUGAAAAACUGACACCAAAUAUAUAUUUAAAAAAAUGUUAGUCAUGUAUUUUAAGAAUGUUGAACAUAUAUAUUUGUUUUCAUCAUGUAUGCAAAAAUGAAAAUUGCAAAUUCAGAAUUUUGAAAAUGUUAACUGUGCAUAAUUUUUUUAACUAUUUAUUUAUANNNNNNNNNNNNNNNNNNNNNNNNNNNNNNNNNNNNNNNNNNNNNNNNNNNNNNNNNNNNNNNNNNNNNNNNNNNNNNNNNNNNNNNNNNNNNNNNNNNNNNNNNNNNNNNNNNNNNNNNNNNNNNNNNNNNUUAACUAUUUAUUUAUAAAAUGUACUUAGUCUGUGACAAAAGUAGAUAUAACAAACACACAUUUCAAAGAAUGUUAACUAUUUAUUUAUAAAAUAUUAACUAUGUAUAAAAACAAUUGUUUAAAAGCGUAGCAAAAUAUACAGUAUGCAUUAAAAUAGUAUGGCAUGGAAAACAUAUAUAUAAUAAACUAUUAAUCAUACAUUUAAAAAACAUAAACAUGUGUAAAAAACUGUUCCUUAAGUAUAGGAAAAAUGUACAGUGUAUAAAUAUAAAGUUGAUAUAAAGCCAUAUAUUUGACAAAAGUUAAUCACAUGUUUACAAAUAUGUUCAAUCUGUACAAAACAAUAGUUCAUUCAUAUACAAAAAAUGUAAUCGCCUGUGAAACUGAUGUUUAUUCCUGUCAAAUAAAAAUUUCACCACGGGUUAGAUAAUAAACAAUGAGAAACAAAGAAAACCCUGAAAAACCGAGAAAGAAACAAAGAAAACAGAAGGAAAGAUAAACAAUGAAAAAGCGGAGAAAUAAUGAAAACAGACAAAGAAACAUAGAAAACCAAACAAGAAACAAAGAAACCAAUGUAAAUGAAUGAAAAAACUGAAACUUGAGAAAGAAACAAAGGAAAAUGGAGAAACCAAGGAAAAACAAAGGAAGCUGAAGAAAAGGAAAAGAAAAAAGAAAAACAAACAAAAAAACACCAAAGCAACAAGCAAUAUCGAUGGAACGAAUGCAUUGACUAGACCGAACGACCGAACUUGCGAAGCAAAACCAGAAUUGGCCGGCCUAUUGAAGUUCGAAGCCAAAAGAACCUUUGAGGGAGAUGGAACAUAGCGUUGUGCGGACCCAUAUAUAACUGUGGUGCUCAAGGAGCGGAAACCCUAUUUGUUGAUAGUUGCGACAAAUUGUCGGGGUUACUCAUAUGUGAUCGACAGAGUGUUCCGGGGUGGGCCAGCCGAUUAAGCAUUUCAAUGAUACUGGGUUCUCUCGGUUUUGCAAACCUUCUAUGAUGUUCCUAGACGAUUUUCCGGGUUUUGCAGAUCUUGUAGGAGGUUCCUGAACUGGGUUUCUUUUUUGGUUUUUUUUUCCUUUUUGAUGUUUUCUUUUUAUUUUCUAUCUUAUUUACUUUCAUUUUAUAUUGAUAUUUUUUAACAAAUAUUUCAGAUGUACAAAAAAUAGUUCUAUUUUUCAAAGGAAGUCGGAAAUUCCAAAAUUUCUUCCUAUUUUUAGUUCACAAUUUGAAAAAAUGUUUAAAAUGUUCGCUAAUUUUAUAAAAUGUUUGGAAUGUUCGCUAAUUUUAUAAAAGUUUAAAAUGUUUGCUAAUUUUAAAUUUGGUCAGGCUUGUCGGAUAUUGUUGAGGAUUUAAGAAAAUGUUCUAAUUAUUUUAAAUAUAUUGCUCCUUUGGAUUUGUUUUUCGUAAAUUCAGAUUUUUCAUUUUUUUAAAACUUCUUCGACAUUGUCAAAACAAUUCCCGUGUUACUCUGGAAUUUAUUUUUGUCCCCGUGUUCCAAAAUUUCUCCACAAAUUGAAAAAUGUUCAUGUUUUAAAUCUGGUCACAAAUUCAAAAUUUGUUGGAUGUUUUAAAACAUGUUCUUGUUGGUUAAUAGUUUAUACGAAUUUGAGAAAAUUGUUCUUGUUUUUCAAUUUUUUUGACAAAAUUUUAAAUGGCUCUCUAUUGAUUUUCUUUCAUGAAUUAAAAUUUUCCACCUAUUUUCAAAACUUCUUCAUGUUUUUCAAAAGGUUGUCCGAAUUUUGAAAAAAUAAUCUGUGUUUUAAAGUUUUUGUUAAAUUUAUCAAAUUGUCCCCGUUUUAAAAUUUUGGUUAAAAAUAAGAAAAGUUUUGACGGUAUUUUAAACUCGUUCAUGUUUGUCAAAAAUGUUGUGAAAUUUUUGAAAAAUUAUUCAGUACGUUGGAGAAAACUUUGAUAAAAAGGAAAAGAUAGGGAUCUGUAAGUGUAUACUAUAAUGUUAAUCGGGUUUUUCAAUAAUAUUUGUAAUGUAAUGUUAAAGGGCAAUGCUAUGCGUCAGCCGGCGGAUAACUCCUAAUUAUCCGCCGCUUGCCCCACCGUCAGAUCCACCAUUAUGAAGCAGCCCAUACUGUCUCUCUUGCCUCGUGGGUCAUCAAUGACAUUGUAAGCAUUGCAACAUUGGCCAUGUUUCAGCAACAGUAGGGAUGUUUCAGUCCCGUGAGCUCGCAGAUCCGUGUCUCUGCAACAAGGAUAAUGUCUCAGAAACAUGCCUCACCAACAACGUUUUAGAAAUAUGCUUAAUGUUUCAGAAAUACCAGUGACACUGCAGUCUAGGCACAUGCGAUCUAUUUCAUAAACAUGUCUUUGCAACAAUAACUAUGUUUCAGAAACUCGCCUUUGCAACAAUGACGAUGUCUCAAAAACGUCAAUGACGUUGCAAUACGGGUACGUAUCGAUCACACGUGGUGGCUUGCCGCACCAUACAAUCAUCUGUAAUCAGACGACAGCGUAGGCGGACGAUGUCGUGCACGCAUCAGCCGGGAGAGCGCAAGAUUUUUCCAAUGUUAAAAGGGUUCGUAGCAGUUUUGGCAAAAAACAAUCGGUGCAUAAUUGAAAAACAUUCAUCGUGUAUUCCAUUUUUUCUUGUUGUGCACUCUAAAAAGGUUGAUCUUGUAUUUCAAUAAUUAAUUAGGAUUAAUACCC